rnacentral:rRNA from 1 species
GAGCGCUCAAUAAUUAAAGCAGUAUCAGUAAUGAAUAAAAGAAUAAUAAAGAAUAGCAUUCUGUUAACAGCUGCCGGUUUGUUUAUUGUAUUACUGGCAAAUACGGGUUGUUAUUACGAUAAAGAAGAGAUAUUAUACCCGCAAACCGUAUGUGAUACAGCCAAUGUUACGUACAGCAGUUCGGUGGUGCCGGUAUUAAUUUCUAACUGUAACAGUUGCCAUGGCGGCAGCACGCCCUCGGCAGGUAUUG